CUUGCUGGGGGUGGAUGAGUGGCGAACGGGUGAGUAACACGUGAGUAACCUGCCCCGAACUCUGGGAUAAGCGCUGGAAACGGCGUCUAAUACUGGAUAUGUCCUAUCACCGCAUGGUGUGUAGGUGGAAAGAAUUUCGGUUCGGGAUGGACUCGCGGCCUAUCAGCUAGAUGGUGAGGUAAUGGCUCACCAUGGCGACGACGGGUAGCCGGCCUGAGAGGGUGACCGGCCACACUGGGACUGAGACACGGCCCAGACUCCUACGGGAGGCAGCAGUGGGGAAUAUUGCACAAUGGGCGCAAGCCUGAUGCAGCAACGCCGCGUGAGGGAUGACGGCCUUCGGGUUGUAAACCUCUUUUAGUAGGGAAGAAGCGAAAGUGACGGUACCUGCAGAAAAAGCACCGGCUAACUACGUGCCAGCAGCCGCGGUAAUACGUAGGGUGCAAGCGUUGUCCGGAAUUAUUGGGCGUAAAGAGCUCGUAGGCGGCUUGUCGCGUCUGCUGUGAAAACCAGAGGCUCAACCUCUGGCCUGCAGUGGGUACGGGCAAGCUAGAGUGCGGUAGGGGAGAUUGGAAUUCCUGGUGUAGCGGUGGAAUGCGCAGAUAUCAGGAGGAACACCGAUGGCGAAGGCAGAUCUCUGGGCCGUAACUGACGCUGAGGAGCGAAAGCAUGGGGAGCGAACAGGAUUAGAUACCCUGGUAGUCCAUGCCGUAAACGUUGGGAACUAGAUGUAGGGCCUGUUCCACGGGUUCUGUGUCGUAGCUAACGCAUUAAGUUCCCCGCCUGGGGAGUACGGCCGCAAGGCUAAAACUCAAAGGAAUUGACGGGGGCCCGCACAAGCGGCGGAGCAUGCGGAUUAAUUCGAUGCAACGCGAAGACCUUACCAAGGCUUGACAUAUACGAGAACACUGUAGAGAUACAGGACUCUUUGGACACUCGUAAACAGGUGGUGCAUGGUUGUCGUCAGCUCGUGUCGUGAGAUGUUCGGUUAGUCCGGCACGA
rnacentral:rRNA from 1 species